AGGUAGGGUCCCCUGAAGAACUCGAGGAUCGAGAAGUUAAAGGUGCAUGUGGCCUCUUCCUUUUCUUCAUGCUAUGUGUCGAGAAUGAGAAGGAGACCACCGCGAGUGACAGGCGGCAUGAUGAGAGUGUUGGAAAGACAGCGACUCGACAUAAUGAGAAUGUCGAGAUGAUUGUCAUUCCGAAGAUGGAGAAAGAGAUCGUCGUGGAGCACAACG
rnacentral:lncRNA from 1 species